UGCUUUAUUACCCAUUUGUGCAGUGACAGAGCGCAAACUUAUUUGGAAAUAAGAGGUCUAGCGUUCAUUUCCACUCAAUUUUGAAUCAUUUUCCUUUCCAAAUCUCCAAAUUUUUUCACCAAAUCAAAGUAUUUUUCCAUCCGCCUCCUCACCACCACCCCUCUCUAAUCUCUAUCCGCCUUCGUGUUGUGCUGCACUGAUCGGCCCCUGUGCUUCCAAAUCAUGUCACCACGGGUGUCAAGGCUUUGACACAACCGCAAGGCUCCACGACAUCUUUAUUGGCGGCGAGGAGGUGGUAAGGUCAUCAUUCAUCCCGGCAUCCCAAGCUCCAUCAUUUGCUGGCCUUCUGUGUCCGACCUGGGAUCCGAGCAAAAGGUGCUUGCUGAAAUGUUUUUUAUGAAGAACGCAAAUAUCUCUGGAAUUCCAUAGGUCUAUGAUUUAAAUAUUUGCUGACAUAUCUUAGUUGAAAUGCUUGUAGCAUAAAGUCUAUUUAUGUGGGCAUAAGAUGCUUGCUGAAAUGUUUCUUAAAAAUUUGGUCUUGUUUGGUUGAAAUGUUCGUAAGACUAGCUUAUCUAAAUGAGUAUGAGGUGUUUGUCGAAAUGUUAGCGCUAAGCCAUGAUUGUUUGUAUUUCUCAUGAACUUCGUAUGUACUGUUUGUUUAAACGGUAGAUUCUGUAUUAUGAUGUGACUUCGCAGAUUAUUCA